CGAUCCCCCUUGUUACAAAUAACUUCCUCUGACAUGUUUGGGCAGGGUGACAAUGUUUUGAGUGAAAACAGCUUUCAGGAUUGGAUGGGAUACAAGCUUUCAACCCCUAGGGUGGGCUACUUCUUCAACUGCUGCUUUAUCCCUCUGAAGAGAGAAAACAAGAGGGGCCAGAGAGAGAAAGACAGACAGAGAGAGUCCAAGCAAGGCUGGGAUUGAGGACUGCACAAGACAGUGACUCGCCAUGAAUAAAAGCAGUUGGGACUCUGUUCUUUGGGGCAAGUCUUCCUGAUCAAGCCCAUCGUAACGCUGGUAUGUUCCCCUCAAUUGCCUAAUCAGAGAGGAUGGUGAAAUCAAUGAGGUGGAUGGAUCCUAACAGGAAUCUGAAAUGAACACCAGCGCCUAGGAUCAAUGAGUCUUCGCCUCUGUAUGUUUGUAUGUGCGAGCGUGAGGCGCUGAAGAUGUUCGACCUUCACCAGGACAGCAGUGCGUUUUGCUUGGGCUGUAAUGGGCCACUUUUGGGAACUGAUAGAGGGGGAGGAAGGGGACGUGAGAAAGGGUGUUAAUUAGAGGCCAAAGGUCUGCGGAAGGAGUCAGCCACCACAAGCCACUUAAAUCAGAGCACAAUCUUUUGAGGCCAAAUCAAUCUAUCUAUUGUAUGUCAGGACAACUGAUCCUGUAUGAUCACUCAUAGCCACCAUGAAGGAUGCAUGAGUUGAAGCGAAUGCAUAUUGAUUUAGUCGACGGCAAUUGUAUUGGAAACCAAAGGCAAUAAAAAACAAACAUUUUGAUGGCGACAGUGGAUGAGGGUAGAAACCGGAUCUGACAGAUAAGAUAAGAUAAGCAAAAGACCAAAGGAAAACCACAUGGAUGAGAGGUGAAGAGAAGAGAGACUCUAGAGUGGCUCGUCACCAUCUCUUCGCCAUCUGGUCCCCAUCCACUCUCCCAUGACUCCAGUGAUGUCACUGAGAGGAGAUGGUACCAAUUAGAAACCAGACUGAAGACAUCUCCGGAACGAGAAAUGGGUCUCUGUAUCAGUAGUCAGUGGGCCACAGGCUUAGAUGGAUAGCACCUUUGCCACCAAGGUCAGGCAUAAACAUGUUUGUAGUUAUGGCUUUUGAUAUUCAGUAUUGAUCCUAUAAUUGUCCAAAAGAAGGGUGCAAAGCAAAUCGUGUCAUCAUUAUUCAACUUUGUAGAUAAUGGCCAUCUGGCUGGGAAAAUCCACCACUUUUUAAAGCUCCUCUGUCACCUCAGGAGCGAGACGAGCAGCGCUGGCUCUCCUCUUAUUUCUUUAUCAGGACCGGAGACGGCUCAAGCGCUUUCCCAGAAUCUGUCAGGGCCCGGUGAGCGCAACGCUUCAUCCAUCACAGGAGCCAGCUUCACAGGCUUUUCAUUUUACUGGGGAGGCCCACUUCUGAGGCCAGGCCCAUUAAGUUUUCACAUUCGUGUCCCAACGCCUGUCAUUUGGCUCACAUCAUCCAAAACACUCUUUCAUUCUUGCUGUUUCUCUCUCUAUAUACCUCAUGUCCCAUUUAUCUUUAUUUCUCAGUUCCUCCCUCUUUGCCCCCCAUUGCUCCAUCACUUUUCUCACUUCUAAUGAGGAGUGAACUCGUUUUGAAAAUUAUGACGUGAUCCUGAGGUCAAAGCUGCAAAUGAAACACACGUUUCGGAGCUCACCCAAGACAGAUUAACAGAGGAUGUACAGAGCUUCCAAAAUAAAGGUGCUUCAGUGUG